rnacentral:rRNA from 1 species
AUACGGAGGGUGCAAGCGUUAUCCGGAUUUAUUGGGUUUAAAGGGUUCGUAGGCGGAUCAAUAAGUCAGUGGUGAAAGCCUGUGGCUCAACCAUAGAACUGCCAUUGAUACUGUUGAUCUUGAGUACACUUGAAGUGGGCGGAAUGCGUCAUGUAGCGGUGAAAUGCACAGAUAUGACGCAGAACACCGAUUGCGAAGGCAGCUCACUAAAUUGUAACUGACGCUGAGGAACGAAAGCGUGGGGAGCGAACAGGAUUAGAAACCCUAGUAGUCC